AUUGUUACAUCUUCCUGGCUGGUCUCUCCUCUUUCCCAGCAUCUCCUGCUUCUCCCUCUGCUGGAAUAAUGACUUUGUACUGAAUUCUCACAGGAAGUCUCACACGAAGACACUGCUAACUCCACUUUCAGAGAGAAACACUGAGGCUCGGAGCUAAACUAACUCGCCUCAGAGCCCACAUCCUGGACUUGAGCCUCAGGGUGUCGCACGCCAAAGCCUGUCCUCUUCACCCCAGCUUCCUGGGCAUUGGAACGGAUCCACAGUGUCAGAUAUGCAGUGGGAAUGGCCCCCAUUCCAAGCCACUUCCUGACCUGAUGGCAGCACCCUGCUAGUCCUCACAUUGGAGCCCUGGAGAAGCCGGGUUCCUUAACCCAGAUUUGAAUCAAUAGCCCCAUACCUGGUAUGCACAUCCAGGCCAAGUGUGGCUGAAUGGGGAGCAUCUGUUCUGGAGAAGGCCACCCUCAUGGGCUCCUCUGCUUCCUGUCCCUUCGGGCACUGAUUUAUGGCAUGCAGCAGGGAAGGGCCUGAGCUUGAGCCCUGACCAUCGUUAUCAUCACCAUCCUCGUUCCAGUGCAGUGAAGAACAUUUUGAAGGUACAGAAGAAGGUCUUCUUUCUGAAUGAAGCUCCUUGCAUGAUUCAGGGAUCUUCCUCUUGAAGGCACCAAUCAUUUUGACUUUAAUGCAUGCACUCUGACUUACUUGUGGUGAUCUCUCCUGGAAAUACAUGGAAAAAUGAAAAAUAGGCUAACUGGCGAGAUUUCUUAAAUACCAGUUUGUAUGGCUGUGUUAACCUGAAUGAUUAAAUAUAGAAUUGUUUUUUAAGUUA